UGAGUAACACGUGGGCAACCUGCCCUUUGCACUGGGAUAGCCUCGGGAAACCGAGGUUAAUACCGGAUACUCCAUAUUUGUCGCAUGGCGAAUAUGGGAAAGCUCCGGCGGCAAGGAUGGGCCCGCGGCCUGUUAGCUAGUUGGUGGGGUAGUGGCCUACCAAGGCAAUGAUGGGUAGCCGGGUUGAGAGACCGACCGGCCAGAUUGGGACUGAGACACGGCCCAGACUCCUACGGGAGGCAGCAGCA
rnacentral:rRNA from 1 species